rnacentral:rRNA from 1 species
UUACGCUGUUAUCCCUAAGGUAAUUUAGUAUUAUAAUCAACAAAAAUGGAUCAAAUAUAUAUAAAUAAAUAUAAAAAAAUAAAAAGAGUUAAUUAAAUCUUUCCAUCACCCCAACAAAAUAAAUUUUCAAAUUAAAAAAAUAUCAUACAAAAAAAUAAAAAUAUAUAUAAACUCUAUAGGGUCUUCUCGUCCCAAAAAAAUAUUUAGGCAUUUUAACCUAAAAUUUAAAUUCAAUAAAUAAAUUAAAGACAGUUUACACCUCGUCAAACCAUUCAUUCCAGCCUACAAUUAAAAGACUAAUGAUUAUGCUACCUUUGCACGGUCAAAAUACCGCGGCCCUUCAAUACUCAGUGGGCAGGCCAUACAUCAAAAUAUAUUCAAGAAGAGAUGUUUUUGAUAAACAGGCG